UCUGGUGACAAUAUCGGAGGGAGUACAUCCGUUCCCAUCCCGAACACGUAAGUUUUGCCCCUCAGCAUCGAUGGUACUUGGGCGUCGGCCCCGGGAGAGUACGAUGCCGCCAGAU
rnacentral:rRNA from 1 species